rnacentral:rRNA from 1 species
UACCCGCAGCACAAGUGGUGGUCAUUAUUAUUGGGCCUAAAGCGUCCGUAGCUGGCUUGUUAGAUGCCUGGGUAAAUCGAUGCGCUCAACGCAUCGAACUCCGGGUAGACCGGCAAGCUUGGGACCGGGAGAGAUGUGGGCUACUCGAGGGGUAGGGGUAAAAUCCUGUAAUCCUUCGGGGAGGACCAGUGGCGAAGGCGUCACAUUAGAACGGCUCCGACAGUGAGGGACGAAGCCCUGGGGCGCAAACCGG